rnacentral:rRNA from 1 species
CACGUAGGGGGCAAGCGUUGUCCGGAUUCAUUGGGCGUAAAGAGCUCGUAGGCGGUUCGAUAAGUCGGGUGUGAAACCUCCAGGCUCAACCUGGAGACGCCACCCGAUACUGUCGUGACUAGAGUCCAGUAGGGGAGCGUGGAAUUCCUGGUGUAGCGGUGAAAUGCGCAGAUAUCAGGAGGAACACCAGCGACGAAGGCGGCGCUCUGGGCUGGAACUGACGCUGAGGAACGAAAGCGUGGGGAGCGAACAGG